rnacentral:ribozyme from 1 species
UGCCCACCAACUCCUAUCCCUACUUCCUAGUGGUACUGGCCGGGGUACGAGUAACCUUAGGGAAGAUCUGGUAACCAACCCCGGUGAGAACUUUGGUCGUAUGCUGACAGGGAAGG